rnacentral:rRNA from 1 species
CCUACGGGAGGCAGCAGUGGGGAAUAUUGGACAAUGGGCGAAAGCCUGAUCCAGCAAUGCCGCGUGAGUGAUGAAGGCCUUAGGGUUGUAAAGCUCUUUUACCCGGGAUGAUAAUGACAGUACCGGGAGAAUAAGCUCCGGCUAACUCCGUGCCAGCAGCCGCGGUAAUACGGAGGGAGCUAGCGUUGUUCGGAAUUACUGGGCGUAAAGCGCACGUAGGCGGCUUUGUAAGUUAGAGGUGAAAGCCUGGAGCUCAACUCCAGAAUUGCCUUUAAGACUGCAUCGCUUGAAUCCAGGAGAGGUGAGUGGAAUUCCGAGUGUAGAGGUGAAAUUCGUAGAUAUUCGGAAGAACACCAGUGGCGAAGGCGGCUCACUGGACUGGUAUUGACGCUGAGGUGUGAAAGCGUGGGGAGCAAACAGGAUUAGAUACCCUGGUAGUCCACGCCGUAAACGAUGAUAACCUAGCUGUCAGGUACAUAGACUAGUGCGCNGCUACGCAUAAGUUAUCGCCGUGGGAGGUACGGUCGCGAGAUAAACUACAAGAAGUAGAGCGNGAGAGNGCGAGACGACGACGAGGGAGAG